GAUGAACGCUGGCGGCGUGCCUAAUACAUGCAAUUCGAGCGAACGGACGAGAAGCUUGCUUCUCUGAUGUUAGCGGCGGACGGGUGAGUAACACGUUGCUAACCUACCUAUAAGACUGGGAUAACUUCGGGAAACCGGAGCUAAUACCGGAUAAUAUUUUGAACCGCAUGGUUCAAAAGUUAAAGACGGUCUUGCUGUCACUUAUCGAUGGAUCCGCGCUGCAUUAGCUAGUUGGUAAGGUAACGGCUUACCAAGGCAACGAUGCAUAGCCGACCUGAGAGGGUGAUCGGCCACACUGGAACUGAGACACGGUCCAGACUCCUACGGGAGGCAGCAGUAGGGAAUCUUCCGCAAGGGGCGAAAGCCUGACGGAGCAACGCAGCGUGAGUGAUGAAGGUCUUCGGAUCGUAAAACUCUGUUAUUAGGGAAGAACAUAUGUGUAAGUAACUGUGCACAUCUUGACGGUACCUAAUCAGAAAGCCACGGCUAACUACGUG
rnacentral:rRNA from 1 species